UACAGAGGUCUCAAGCGUUGUUCGGAUUCAUUGGGCGUAAAGGGUGCGUAGGCGGCGCGGUAAGUCGGGUGUGAAACUCUUGGAGCUUAACUCCGAAACUGCAUUCGAUACUGCCGUGCUUGAGGACUGGAGAGGAGACGUGGAAUUUACGGUGUAGCGGUGAAAUGCGUAGAGUAGUCGAGUAACGGAAGACCGUGGCGG
rnacentral:rRNA from 1 species